GGGUCAGUAGGUUGGUCGUGCCACCGGUACGUACUGGUCUCACUGAUUCCUCCCUCCUGAAGAACCGUAAUGCCAUUAAUUUGGUGUUGCGGGGAAGCAGGACUGUUACUUUGAAAAAAUUAGAGUGUUUAAAGCAAGCUAACGCUUGAAUACAUUAGCAUGGAAUAAUGAAAUAGGACGAUCGAUCCUAUUUUGUUGGUUUCUAGGAUUGACGUA
rnacentral:rRNA from 1 species